rnacentral:tRNA from 2 species
GGGGAUAUAGUUUAAUUGGUAAAACAUCUAUGUUGCAUAUCGUCAUUUCGGGUUCAAUUCCUGAUAUCUCCA